rnacentral:rRNA from 1 species
GUGGGGAAUUUUGGACAAUGGGCGCAAGCCUGAUCCAGCAAUGCCGCGUGCAGGAUGAAGGCCUUCGGGUUGUAAACUGCUUUUGUACGGAACGAAAAGGUUCUUUCUAAUAAAGAGAGCCCAUGACGGUACCGUAAGAAUAAGCACCGGCUAACUACGUGCCAGCAGCCGCGGUAAUACGUAGGGUGCGAGCGUUAAUCGGAAUUACUGGGCGUAAAGCGUGCGCAGGCGGUUAUGUAAGACAGAUGUGAAAUCCCCGGGCUCAACCUGGGACCUGCAUUUGUGACUGCAUAGCUAGAGUACGGUAGAGGGGGAUGGAAUUCCGCGUGUAGCAGUGAAAUGCGUAGAUAUGCGGAGGAACACCGAUGGCGAAGGCAAUCCCCUGGACCUGUACUGACGCUCAUGCACGAAAGCGUGGGGAGCAAACAGGAUUAGAAACCCUUGUAGUCC